rfam:Myotis lucifugus cont2.37584, whole genome shotgun sequence.
GGUGGUUCUAAGGUGAUGGACCCCAGAAUUGGGCUCCCUCCUCUCUGGUUCUGGGUGCAUCACCCGAGAACCGCA